GGCUUAGAGUUUGAUCAUGGCUCAGGACGAACGCUGGCGGCGCGCCUAACACAUGCAAGUCGAACGGGGUUGAGAGGAGCUUGCUUUUCUUGACUUAGUGGCGAACGGGUGAGUAACGCGUGAGGAACCUGCCUCAAAGAGGGGGACAACAGUUGGAAACGACUGCUAAUACCGCAUAAGCCCACGGUUCUGCAUGGAACUGAGGGAAAAGGAGCAAUCCGCUUUGAGAUGGCCUCGCGUCCGAUUAGCUAGUUGGUGAGGUAACGGCCCACCAAGGCGACGAUCGGUAGCCGGACUGAGAGGUUGAACGGCCACAUUGGGACUGAGACACGGCCCAGACUCCUACGGGAGGCAGCAGUGGGGAACAUUGCACAAUGGGGGAAACCCUGAUGCAGCGACGCCGCGUGGAGGAAGAAGGUCUUCGGAUUGUAAACUCCUGUUGUUGGGGAAAAAGAGGAUGGUACCCAACAAGGAAGUGACGGCUGACUACGUGCCAGCAGCCGCGGUAAAACGUAGGUCACAAGCGUUGUCCGGAAUUACUGGGUGUAAAGGGAGCGCAGGCGGGUAUGCAAGUUGGGAGUGAAAUACAUGGGCUCAACCCAUGAACUGCUCUCAAAACUGUGUAUCUUGAGUAGUGCAGAGGUAGGCG
rnacentral:rRNA from 1 species